rnacentral:rRNA from 1 species
UCUGGUGGGUAGUUUGACUGGGGCGGUCUCCUCCCAAAGCGUAACGGAGGAGCACGAAGGUUAGCUAAUCCUGGUCGGACAUCAGGAGGUUAGUGCAAUGGCAUAAGCUAGCUUGACUGCGAGCGUGACGGCGCGAGCAGGUGCGAAAGCAGGUCAUAGUGAUCCGGUGGUUCUGAAUGGAAGGGCCAUCGCUCAACGGAUAAAAGGUACUCCGGGGAUAACAGGCUGAUACCGCCCAAGAGUUCAUAUCGACGGCGGUGUUUGGCACCUCGAUGUCGGCUCAUCACAUCCUGGGGCUGAAGUAGGUCCCAAGGGUAUGGCUGUUCGCCAUUUAAAGUGGUACGCGAGCUGGGUUUAGAACGUCGUGAGACAGUUCGGUCCCUAUCUGCCGUGGGCGCUGGAGAAUUGAGGGGGGCUGCUCCUAGUACGAGAGGACCGGAGUGGACGCAUCACUGGUGUUCGGGUUGUCAUGCCAAUGGCACUGCCCGGUAGCUAAAUGCGGAAGAGAUAAGUGCUGAAAGCAUCUAAGCACGAAACUUGCCCCG